GACAGAGGGUGCAAACGUUGUUCGGAAUUAUUGGGCGUAAAGGGCUCGUAGGCGGUUUGUCGCGUCGGGAGUGAAAACCUCGGGCUUAACUCGGGGCUUGCUUUCGAUACGGGCAGACUGGAGGUAUGCAGGGGAGAACGGAAUUCCUGGUGUAGCGGUGAAAUGCGCGGAUAUCAGGAGGAACACCGGUGGCGAAGGCGGUUCUCUGGGCAUGACCUGACGCUGAGGAGCGAAAGUGUGGGGAGCGAACAGG
rnacentral:rRNA from 1 species